rnacentral:rRNA from 1 species
UAGGGAAUCUUCCGCAAUGGACGCAAGUCUGACGGAGCAACGCCGCGUGAGUGAAGAAGGUUUUCGGAUCGUAAAACUCUGUUGUUAGAGAAGAACAAGUGCUAGAGUAACUGUUAGCGCCUUGACGGUAUCUAACCAGAAAGCCACGGCUAACUACGUGCCAGCAGCCGCGGUAAUACGUAGGUGGCAAGCGUUGUCCGGAUUUAUUGGGCGUAAAGCGAGCGCAGGCGGUUCCUUAAGUCUGAUGUGAAAGCCCCCGGCUCAACCGGGGAGGGUCAUUGGAAACUGGGGAACUUGAGUGCAGAAGAGGAGAGUGGAAUUCCAUGUGUAGCGGUGAAAUGCGUAGAUAUAUGGAGGAACACCAGUGGCGAAGGCGACUCUCUGGUCUGUAACUGACGCUGAGGCUCGAAAGCGUGGGUAGCAAACAGGAUUAGAUACCCUGGUAGUCCACGCCGUACGGUGAAUGCUAAGUGUUGGAGGGUUUCCGCCCUUCAGUGCUGCAGUUAACGCAUUAAGCACUCCGCCUGGGGAGUACGACCGCAAGGU